rnacentral:rRNA from 1 species
AACACAUGCAAGUCCAACGGUAACAGGCCUUCGGGCGCUGACGAGUGGCGAACGGGUGAGUAAUGCAUCGGAACGUGCCCAGUCGUGGGGGAUAACUACUCGAAAGAGUGGCUAAUACCGCAUACGAUCUGCGGAUGAAAGCGGGGGACCUUCGGGCCUCGCGCGAUUGGAGCGGCCGAUGUCAGAUUAGGUAGUUGGUGGGGUAAAGGCUCACCAAGCCAACGAUCUGUAGCUGGUCUGAGAGGACGACCAGCCACACUGGGACUGAGACACGGCCCAGACUCCUACGGGAGGCAGCAGUGGGGAAUUUUGGACAAUGGGCGCAAGCCUGAUCCAGCAAUGCCGCGUGCAGGAAGAAGGCCUUCGGGUUGUAAACUGCUUUUGUACGGAACGAAACGGUCCUGGCUAAUAUCCGGGGCUAAUGACGGUACCGUAAGAAUAAGCACCGGCUAACUACGUGCCAGCAGCCGCGGUAAUACGUAGGGUGCGAGCGUUAAUCGGAAUUACUGGGCGUAAAGCGUGCGCAGGCGGUGCUGUAAGACAGGCGUGAAAUCCCCGGGCUCAACCUGGGAAUUGCGCUUGUGACUUGCANUGCUGGANUGCGGCAAAGGGGGAUUGGAAUUCCGCGUGUAGCAGUGAAAUGCGUUAAAUAUGCGGGGGAACACCGAUGGCGAAGGCAAUCCCCUGGGGCCUGCACUNGACGCUCAUUCACGAAAACCGUGGGGGAGCAAACAAGAAUUAAAUUCCCUGGGUUAUUCCACCCCCUAAACAAAUUUCAACUGGGUUGUUGGGAAUUUUACUUUCUCAGG